CCUCGGUGUCUAAGCAUUUGCCUGGCGCUCUUCCUCUGUGUUGCAGGAGCUCCACGCCCCGUUGACUGUUGUUGCAGAUGGGCUCUUCUCCAAGUUCAGGAAGAACCUCAUCUCCAGUAAAGUUUCUGUUUCAUCUCACUUUGUGGGUUUCCUUAUGAAGAAUGCACCACAGUUUAAAGCCAAUUUUGCAGAGCUUGUUCUGCUCAACCCAAGUCCAGUUCUCAUCUACCAGAUCUCAGCCAGCGAGACUCGGGUACUUGUUGACAUCCGUGGGGAAAUGCCAAGGAACUUAAGAGAGUACAUGGCUGAGCAGAUUUACCC